UACGGAGGGGACUAGCGUUGUUCGGAAUUACUGGGCGUAAAGAGCUUGUAGGCGGUCUGUCGCGUCUGCUGUGAAAAUCCGGGGCUCAACCCCGGACUUGCAGUGGGUACGGGCAGACUAGAGUGUGGUAGGGGAGACUGGAAUUCCUGGUGUAGCGGUGAAAUGCGCAGAUAUCAGGAGGAACACCAAUUGCGAGGGCAGCUCGCUGGGACGUCACUGACGCUGAGACGCGAAAGCGUGGGGAGCAAACAGG
rnacentral:rRNA from 1 species